rnacentral:RNase_P_RNA from 1 species
UGAGUCGGCCGGGUGGCCGCGGUCCGAGCGAGGCUCGCCUCGUGAUCGGGUCGAGGAAGGUCGGGACUCCACAGGGCACGGUGCUGGCUAACGGCCAGUCGGGGCGACCUGCAGGAAAGUGCCACAGAGAACAGACCGCCGAUGGCGGCCUUCGGGUCGCACAGGCAAGGGUGAAACGGUGCGGCAAGAGCGCACCAGCGGUCGGGGUGACCCGGCCGGCUCGGUAAACCCCACCUGGAGCAAGGUCGAACAGGGGGACGGACGGCCCGUCCGGUGCUCUCCGGAGCACCACCCCCGGGUAGACCGCGUAGAUGGAUGGUCACCGAACCCUCAACUGAGGGGGAACAGAAUCCCGCCUACAGGCCGACUCACCGU